GGGGUUGUGACUCAGUGGGAGAGUGCUUGCCUCUCAUGCAUGAGGCACUGGGUUCAAUUCUCAGCACCACA
rnacentral:tRNA from 1 species